rnacentral:rRNA from 1 species
AGCUCCAAUAGCGUAUAUUAAAGUUGUUGCAGUUAAAAAGCUCGUAGUUGGAUUUCUGGUCUGAUGCCCUGGCCCGCGUCUUAUAGAUGUGUGUGCCGGCUGUGCGUCUGCCAUCCUUCUAGUAACCCUUCCUACCCUUCACUGGGCCGGGUUGGCGAUCUAGAUCUUUUACUUUGAAAAAAUUAGAGUGUUUAAAGCAGGCUUUUGCUAUGAAUACAUUAGCAUGGAAUAAUAAUCUAGGACUUCGGUUCUAUUUUGUUGGUUUCUAGUACUGAAGUAAUGAUUGAUAGGGAUAGUUGGGGGUGCUAGUAUUGAGCGGCCAGAGGUGAAAUUCUUGGAUUCGCUCAAGACUAACUUAUGCGAAAGCAUUCACCAAGGAUGUCUUCU